rnacentral:rRNA from 1 species
GACGAACGCUGGCGGCGUGCCUAAUACAUGCAAGUCGAGCGAGGGUCUUCGGACCCUAGCGGCGGACGGGUGAGUAACACGUAGGCAACCUGCCUGUAAGACUGGGAUAACAUAGGGAAACUUAUGCUAAUACCAGAUAGGGUCUUCUCCCACAUGAGAGAGGACGGAAAGGUGGCGCAAGCUACCACUUACAGAUGGGCCUGCGGCGCAUUAGCUAGUUGGUGGGGUAAUGGCCCACCAAGGCAACGAUGCGUAGCCGACCUGAGAGGGUGACCGGCCACACUGGGACUGAGACACGGCCCAGACUCCUACGGGAGGCAGCAGUAGGGAAUUUUCCACAAUGGACGAAAGUCUGAUGGAGCAACGCCGCGUGAACGAUGAAGGUCUUCGGAUCGUAAAGUUCUGUUGUUAGGGACGAACAAGUACCGUUCGAACAGGGCGGUACCUUGACGGUACCUGACGAGAAAGCCACGGCUAACUAUGUGCCAGCCGCCGCCGUAACAC